UACAGAGGUCCCAAGCGUUGUUCGGAUUCACUGGGCGUAAAGGGUGCGCAGGUGGUUUGGCAAGUUUGAUGUGAAAGCCCCGGGCUUAACCCGGGAAUGGCAUUGAAUACUGCUUGAACUGGAGGGUCGGAGGGGGGGACUGGAAUUCUUGGUGUAGCAGUGAAAUGCGUAGAUAUCAAGAGGAACACCAGUGGCGAAGGCGAGUCCCUGGACGAUACCUGACACUGAGGCACGAAAGCCAAGGGAGCAAACAGG
rnacentral:rRNA from 1 species